GAUCAUGGCUCAGGAUGAACGCUAGCUACAGGCUUAACACAUGCAAGUCGAGGGGCAGCAUGGUCUUAGCUUGCUAAGACUGAUGGCGACCGGCGCACGGGCGAGUAACACGUAUCCAACCUGCCGUCUACUCUUGGACAGCCUUCUGAAAGGAAGAUUAAAUACAAGAUGGCAUCAUGAGUCCGCAUGUUCACAUGAUUAAAGGUAUUCCGGGUAGACGA
rnacentral:rRNA from 1 species